ACCAGAGUUAUUCCACUUGUUGACGUAUAUUUUCAUUUCUUAAUUUUACGGAACCGUUGCAGGCAGUCCGACGAAUCUGAGAAAAGCUCCAGUGCUGAAGGAGGCCAUGCCUGCAAGUGUGGAUCAAACUGCACAUGUGACCCAUGCAACUGUUGAUGACAGAAUAUGGUUUAAGCCCUUCAAAGUAGCUAUGGAUGAUGUUGUGUGUACUAAACAUAAUAUAAUAAGACAGCCUUAAAUUGGACAAAUUCAUUUACUGGAUUUGUCUGGUGUGGUGUUUACUGGCUAUUAUCUCUGUAAUUGUGUCUGUAAUUUAUAUGUUUGCAGUUUGGUUACUGGCUUCAAUUUCUGUGUGAAGACUUGACAUCAAUAUAGCUCCUUUAUUGUUGUGUGAACUUUCAAUCAAUUACCUUAUCCUUUUAGGAGUACAGAUGUGUUGUCCUCAUGUUCGUGUCCCCUCGACCGUCUAGCC
rnacentral:lncRNA from 1 species